rfam:Gossypium arboreum cultivar AKA8401 contig_30047_1, whole genome shotgun sequence.
UGUUAAAAACUUCAUCCACAUGUACUGUUAAAAACUAGCAUGUCUGAUAGAAUAACUAGAUAGUGACAUACGUGGCAUGCCAUAUUUAUCUUAUAUUGAUUUAAAGGGACCAAUUUUUAAUAGUAGAAAUAGAUAAAAUUUUUAACA